rnacentral:rRNA from 1 species
CGCGGUAAUACUGGCAGAGCAAGUGGUACCCACGAAUAUUGGGUCUAAAGAGUCCGUAGCGGGCCUGUUAAGUCCACUGUGAAAUCUGGCGGCUCAACCGUCAGGCGUGCAGUGGAUACUGGCAGGCUUGGGAGUGGGGGAGGUCGGGAGUACUCACGGGGUAACGGUAAAAUGUUGUAAUCCUGUGAGGACUACCAGUGGCGAAGGCGCCCGACCAAAACACGUCCGACCGUGAGGGACGAAGGCUAGGAGAACGAAUCGGAUUAGAUACCCGAGUAGCCCUAGCAGUAAAUUAUGCAGACUGUGGUGUUGCGUCGACUUCGAGUCGGCGCAGUGCUGUAGCGUAGGUGUUAAGUCUGCCACCUGGGGAGUACGGCCGCAAGGUUGAAACUUAAAGGAAUUGGCGGGGGAGCAC